rnacentral:rRNA from 1 species
AGAGUUUGAUCCUGGCUCAGGAUUAACGCUGGCGGCGUGCAUAACACAUGCAAGUCGAACGAUGAAGAUAUUUAGAUUCCUUCGGGAUGAAAAAUAUUGGAUUAGUGGCGGACGGGUGAGUAACGCGUGAGUAACCUGCCUUACACAAGGGGAUAGCCGUUGGAAACGACGAAUAAUACCCUAUGACAUAAACUCUUCGCAUGAAGAGCUUAUCAAAGAUUUAUCGGUGUAAGAUGGACUCGCGUCUGAUUAGCUAGUUGGUGAGGUAACGGCCCACCAAGGCAACGAUCAGUAGCCGGCUUGAGAGAGUGUACGGCCACAUUGGGACUGAGACACGGCCCAGACUCCUACGGGAGGCAGCAGUGGGGAAUUUUGCACAAUGGGGGAAACCCUGAUGCAGCGACGCCGCGUGAUUUAGAAGGCCUUCGGGUUGUAAAAAUCUUUUGUAUGGGAAGAAAAUGACAGUACCAUACGAAUAAGGACCGGCUAAUUACGUG